GAUGAACGCUGGCGGCGUGCCUAAUACAUGCAAGUCGAGCGAACGGACGAGAAGCUUGCUUCUCUGAUGUUAGCGGCGGACGGGUGAGUAACACGUGGAUAACCUACCUAUAAGACUGGGCUAACUUCGGGAAACCGGAGCUACUACCGGAUAAUAUUUUGAACCGCAUGGUUCAAAAGUGAAAGACGGUCUUGCUGUCACUUAUAGAUGGAUCCGCGCUGCAUUAGCUAGUUGGUAAGGUAACGGCUUACCAAGCCAACGAUGCAUAGCCGACCUGAGAGGGUGAUCGGCCAGGCUGGGACUGAGACCCGGUCCAGACUCCUACGGGAUGCAGCCAUAGGGAAUCUACCCAAAUGCGCGCAAGCCUGACGGAGCAACGCCGCGUGAGUGAUGAGGGUCCUCGGAUCGUAAAACUCUUUUAUUAGGGAAGAACAUAUGUGUAAGUAUCUGUGCACAUCUUGACGGUACCUAAACAGAACGGCACGGCUUACUACGUG
rnacentral:rRNA from 1 species